rnacentral:pre_miRNA from 1 species
CUCGUACUCCCUCCGUCGUAAAAUUAUUGUCUUUGAUUUAUCUAGAUAUGAAUGUAUUUAGUCAUGUGUUUGUAUUUAGAUACAUUCAUUUCUAAACAAACAUAAGACAAGAAUUUUGGGACGGAAGGAGUACUUC